rnacentral:rRNA from 1 species
AUUGAACGCUGGCGGCAUGCUUUUACACAUGCAAGUCGAACGGCAGCGGGGGUUUAAGUCUUGCUUAGACCUGCCGGCGAGUGGCGAACGGGUGAGUACAACAUCGGAACGUGUCCGUUUGUGGGGACAACUGCUCGAAAGGGUAGCUAAUACCGCAUAAGACCUGAGGGUGAAAGUGGGGAUCGCAAGACCUCACGCGAACGGAGCGGCCGAUGACUGAUUAGGUAGUUGGUGAGGUAAAGGCCCACCAAGCCGACGAUCAGUAGCUGGUCUGAGAGGACGACCAGCCACACUGGAACUGAGACACGGUCCAGACUCCUACGGGAGGCAGCAGUGGGGAAUUUUGGACAAUGGGGGAAACCCUGAUCCAGCCAUGCCGCGUGCGGGAAGAAGGCCUU